AGGACGAACGCUGGCGGCGUGCUUAACACAUGCAAGUCGAACGGAAAGGCCCUUCGGGGUACUCGAGUGGCGAACGGGUGAGUAACACGUGGGUGAUCUGCCCCGCACUUUGGGAUAAGCCUGGGAAACUGGGUCUAAUACCGAAUAGGACCAUGGGAUGCAUGUCCUGUGGUGGAAAGCUUUUGCGGUGUGGGAUGGGCCCGCGGCCUAUCAGCUUGUUGGUGGGGUUAAGGCCUACCAAGGCGACGACGGGUAGCCGGCCUGAGAGGGUGUCCGGCCACACUGGGACUGAGAUACGGCCCAGACUCCUACGGGAGGCAGCAGUGGGGAAUAUUGCACAAUGGGCGCAAGCCUGAUGCAGCGACGCCGCGUGGGGAUGACGGCCUUCGGUUGUAAACCUCUUUCAGUAGGACGAAGCGCAAGUGACGGUACCUACAGAAGAAGCACCGGCCAACUACGUGCCAGCAGCCGC
rnacentral:rRNA from 1 species